CCGGUCGGAUCGCAUCGGAUGUAGCAUACAGCACAUAGACACCCCCAAGCGAAGCGGCCACCCACAUCCACGCCCAGCGAUGGCGACCACCCCAUCGAAAAUUCACAGCUCGUGCCAGCGCCUUUGCCUUUUGGACGUGUGCGAACGGUCGGAAUAGCACGACGAAUUUUAUUGUUUUAUACUCUCUCCACCUGCGGCUCACUUUAAUUUCACUUUCAACUGGAUGUAAUAUUAAUUAUGCAGUUUUUAAGCUUCCAUUUGAUUUUAUACAGUUGACU
ensembl:ncRNA lncRNA:CR44567 long non-coding RNA:CR44567